rnacentral:misc_RNA from 1 species
ACUGCCCUCAAGCCCGGCUUGUAUUGGGUCCUCGUCCCCCCGGGGACGGGCCCGAAAGGCAGCGGCGGCACCGCGUCCGGUCCUCGAGCGUAUGGGGCUUUGUCACCCGCUCUGUAGGC